UGGUGAAUUUUGGACAAUGGGGGAAACCCUGAUCCAGCCAUCCCGCGUGUGCGAUGAAGGCCUUCGGGUUGUAAAGCACUUUUGGCAGGAAAGAAACGUCAUGGGUUAAUACCCCGUGAAACUGACGGUACCUGCAGAAUAAGCACCGGCUAACUACGUGCCAGCAGCCGCGGUAAUACGUAGGGUGCAAGCGUUAAUCGGAAUUACUGGGCGGAAAGCGUGCGCAGGCGGUUCGGAAAGAAAGAUGUGAAAUCCCAGAGCUCAACUUUGGAACUGCAUUUUUAACUACCGGGCUAGAGUGUGUCAGAGGGAGGUGGAAUUCCGCGUGUAGCAGUGAAAUGCGUAGAUAUGCGGAGGAACACCGAUGGCGAAGGCAGCCUCCUGGGAUAACACUGACGCUCAUGCACGAAAGCGUGGGGAGCAAACAGG
rnacentral:rRNA from 1 species